AGGAGACACAGGAAUCACAGGUUGGAUCCCUGGGUCAGGAAGAUCCCCUGAGAUCUCUGCUCCUGCCACCUCCCUCGAGGUAGAUACGGAAUCAGCCCAGAGACGGCAGGCUGCCCUAGUUUCCACUAGUGGCAGUGGCGGGACCAGCCCUUUGCUCCAGGCUGGGAUGGGACACGCUGCCAGUCUCCCCAGCUGAGCCCAGGGAGCACACCGCACCUGCCAGCUUCCCUGAUGACCAGCACGAGAGACGACCAAACCCCCUUCAGAGCCCCAAGGGGCGACCCUGUGAUCGCCAGGACCUUCACGUCAGCCCAGAAUCCUGAGUCGUGGGGCCACACACCUGCCUUCAGAUGUGGAAUUAGACCAGGAUCGGCCAAGGUCAAGUGAGCCAGGCUGGGAGCCACGCUCCCCCAACCUCUCCGCCCCAAGCAGCCGC